rnacentral:rRNA from 1 species
UACGGGGGGGGGCAAGCGUUGUUCGGAAUUACUGGGCGUAAAGGGCCAGUAGGCGGCCAACUAAGCCGGAUGUGAAAUCCCCAGGCUUAACCUGGGAACUGCAUCCGAUACUGGAUGGCUUGAAUUCGGGAGAGGGAUGCAGAAUUCCAGGUGUAGCGGUGAAAUGCGUAGAUAUCUGGAGGAAUACCGGUGGCGAAGGCGGCAUCCUGGACCGACAUUGACGCUGAACGGCGAAAGCUAGGGGAGCAAACGGG